rnacentral:rRNA from 1 species
GGCCCUAUGGGGCGCAGCAGGCGCGAAACCUUUACAAUGCACGCAAGUGUGAUAAGGGGACCUUAAGUGCUUUACUUUUAGUAAAGCUUUUGCCAUAUGUAAAGAGUAUGGCGAAUAAGUGGUGGGUAAGACAGGUGCCAGCCGCCGCGGUAAUACCUGCGCCACAAGUGGCAGUCACGUUUAUUGGGCCUAAAGCGUCCGUAGCUGGUCUGAUAAAUCUUUUGUGAAAUUGUUAAGCUCAACUUAACAACGUGCAGAAGACACUAUUAGACUUGGAACCGGAGAAGAGUCAGAAGUAUUAUUGGGGUAGCGGUAAAAUGUUAUAAUCCCUUUAAGACUACCGAUGGCGAAGGCGUCUGACUAGAACGGAUUUGACAGUGAGGGACGAAAGCCAGGGGAACAAACCGGAUUAGAUACCCGAGUAGUCCUGGCUGUAAACUCUGCGAGCUAGGUGUUGCACAUUCUUCGAGAAUGUGCAGUGUCGAAACGAAGGUGUUAAGCUCGCCGCCUGGGAAGUAUGGUCGCAAGGCUGAAACUUUAAGGAAUUGGCGGGGGAGCAC